CUUACGUGGAAAGGACUUUGCCCAAUGAUUCCUUGUUGAAAUACAGUGUAACAAUACAAAGGAAAAGGAUAGUUGACAUCAUUGUCACCUCCACCCUGCAGCCACUCCAGCCUGUGGGAAUCAUUGCGAUGUCUGCUGCUUGAUCCAGGCUCUGGGUGCCCCUACAAUCAGCUAUUAUCCAGAGGAAGAUAAGUAAGGGGAAACUUGUCAUGUUUUCCUUUGGACUAACCCGACCUAAAUUUUAAAAUUUAAGUCCUUUGGUUAUUCAAAUCCGUAGAUUACAG
rnacentral:lncRNA from 1 species